AGGACACUCGCGCAACGUAAAGAAACUUUCAAACGCAUUGUAGUUGGACAAAACGCCACAAGGUGUCAUUACAAGCUUUGCUACUGCCACCCAUGGCUUCGUGUAAU
rnacentral:lncRNA from 1 species